rnacentral:rRNA from 1 species
UACGGGGGGGGCAAGCGUUGUUCGGAAUUACUGGGCGUAAAGGGCUCGUAGGCGGCCAACUAAGUCAGACGUGAAAUCCCUCGGCUUAACCGGGGAACUGCGUCUGAUACUGGAUGGCUUGAGAUUGGGAGAGGGAUGCGGAAUUCCAGGUGUAGCGGUGAAAUGCGUAGAUAUCUGGAGGAACACCGGUGGCGAAGGCGGGUUGCUGGGCCGACACUGACGCUGAUGCGCGAAAGCCAGGGGAGCGAACGGG